rnacentral:rRNA from 1 species
CGCCCUUAGAGUUUGAUCAUGGCUCAGAUUGAACGCUGGCGGCAGGCUUAACACAUGCAAGUCGAACGGUAAAGAAGCUUGCUUCUUACGAGUGGCGGACGGGUGAGUAAUGCUUGGGAAUCUAGCUUAUGGAGGGGGAUAACUACGGGAAACUGUAGCUAAUACCGCGUAAUAUCGAAAGGUUAAAGUGUUUCGACAUGCCAUAGGAUGAGCCCAAGUGGGAUUAGGUAGUUGGUGAGGUAAAGGCUCACCAAGCCGACGAUCUCUAGCUGGUCUGAGAGGAUGACCAGCCACACUGGGACUGAGACACGGCCCAGACUCCUACGGGAGGCAGCAGUGGGGAAUAUUGCGCAAUGGGGGCAACCCUGACGCAGCCAUGCCGCGUGAAUGAAGAAGGCCUUCGGGUUGUAAAGUUCUUUCGGUAGCGAGGAAGGCAUUUAGUAAUCUAGGUGAUUGACGUUAACUACAGAAGAAGCACCGGCUAACUCCGUGCCAGCAGCCGCGGUAAUACGGAGGGUGCGAGCGUUAAUCGGAAUAACUGGGCGUAAAGGGCACGCAGCGGUGACUUAAGUGAGGUGUGAAAGCCCCGGGCUUAACCUGGGAAUUGCAUUUCAUACUGGGUCGCUAGAGUACUUUAGGAGGGGUAGAAUUCCACGUGUAGCGGUGAAAUGCG